CCUACGGGGGGCAGCAGUGGGGAAUAUUGGACAAUGGGCGAAAGCCUGAUCCAGCCAUGCCGCGUGUGUGAAGAAGGCCUUCGGGUUGUAAAGCACUUUCAGUGGGGAAGAAAGCCUUGGGGCUAAUACCCUCGAGGAAGGACAUCACCCACAGAAGAAGCACCGGCUAACUCCGUGCCAGCAGCCGCGGUAAUAUGGAGGGUGCGAGCGUUAAUCGGAAUUACUGGGCGUAAAGCGCGCGUAGGCGGUCUGAUAAGCCGGUUGUGAAAGCCCCGGGCUCAACCUGGGAACGGCAUCCGGAACUGUCAGGCUAGAGUGCAGGAGAGGAAGGUAGAAUUCCCGGUGUAGCGGUGAAAUGCGUAGAGAUCGGGAGGAAUACCAGUGGCGAAGGCGGCCUUCUGGACUGACACUGACGCUGAGGUGCGAAAGCGUGGGUAGCAAACAGGAUUAGAUACCCUGGUAGUC
rnacentral:rRNA from 1 species